GGGCAUGUAGCUCAGCUGGAUAGAGCACCAGAUUCCGGUUCUGGCGGUCGGGGGUUCGAAUCCCUCCAUGCUCG
rfam:Leptolyngbya sp. Heron Island J, whole genome shotgun sequence.